rnacentral:rRNA from 1 species
AAACCGCUUAGGGGUUAAGCCCGAUGAACCCGAAUAUCUGAUGUGAGAAAUUCAAUACAGUUCAAAUUCUGAUUUUUAUGUUGGAUUUGUAUAGUAUGCACUUUUCUCAUAGUAAGACAUUGUAAUCCAUUGAUAUUAUAUCUCAAUUUCGAGAUGAUUUAACAUACGGACAAAAUGUUUAUGAUUAUUCUAUCAGUGAUAUGUUUACAUGUCAUAUGAAUAAAAUCGUUUUGUACCUGUUUAAAUAGUCGAUGGAUUUUCCAUUGAAAUCAUGCUUGCAAUUUAUUUUGCGUUUCGUAUCAUUAAUUUUUAAUUGGUGAUAGCAGAAAUGGCAUGUAUUCGAUUAACAAUGCGAUAGAUUUGGGAUGCCUUCGGGACCCGUCUUGAAACACGGACCAAGGAGUCUAACAUAUGUGCAAGUCAUUGAGUAUUUUGUUGAAACUUAAUGGCGUAAUUAAAAUGACUAUAUUUUUAAUUUGGGAUCACAAGUAAUGUUCAAAUUUAUGCAUUAUUUUUCAAUCCCGGGGCGUUCUAUACGAACAUGAUGUAAGCAAUUAUGUCCUCUGUUCAAGAGCGCACCUUGAGCACAUAUGCUGU